UGAGGGAAGCUGGUUAAAUGGUAUGAUGCAUGGAUUUGGAGUAUAUACAUGGAAUGAUGGUGGUUGCUAUGUUGGAACUUGGACACACGGUCUCAAGGAUGGCAAAGGAUCAUUUUAUCCAAAAGGAAGCCGGUUUCCAGCUGUACAAGAACGAUAUCUCAAUGCUUUAAGAAAACGAGGAUUACUGCCAGAUUUGAGAAAGCAGAACCAUGCACAUAUUCAUCAUGCUUCAUCAGUGGAUAUGGCAAAUGUCAAGAUUGGUGGGAACCAGGGAUCUCAUCGUAAUUCAUCCGAUAAACUAUCCAAGGGAAACUUACUAACUUUAGAGCAGUCUCGCAACAAGAAUGUUUCCCUGGAAAGGCGUUGGAGUCUUGAGGUAUCAAUUGAAAAAGUGAUAGGACAUGAUUCAUCAUUAGAGUUAUCAGAAUCUGCCUUAGAAGGCAUGGAGAAAGAGUUUGAAACCAAUGCAGCGCCAAUCUUGGAACGUGAAUAUAUGCAAGGUGUUCUAAUUAAUGAUUAAAUAAUAACUUUUCAUCAACGUCUAGAAGAGCCAAACGUCGACAAAAGAGACUGGCAAAGGAGGUUAAGAGGCCUGGUGAAACAAUCAUUAAAGGGCACAGGAGUUACGAUUUGAUGCUCAGUUUGCAGCUUGGAAUCAGGUAUACUGUUGGAAAAAUUACACCUGUACAGAGGCGAGAAGUUCGCUCAUCAGAUUUUGGUCCAAGAGCAAGCUUUUGGAUGAAUUUUCCAAAAGAUGGAUCACAGUUAACCCCGCCCCAUCAAUCAGAUGAUUUUAAGUGGAAAGACUACUGCCCAAUGGUCUUCAGGAAUUUGAGGGAGAUGUUCAAGAUAGAUGCUGCUGACUACAUGAUGUCCAUUUGUGGAAAUGAUGCACUUAGGGAACUUUCCUCUCCUGGGAAAAGUGGUAGCAUCUUUUUCUUGUCUCAAGAUGAUCGCUUCAUGAUUAAGACGCUCCGGAAGUCUGAAGUACAGGUACUCCUGAAAAUGCUUCCAGACUAUCACCAUCAUGUGAGGUCGUAUGAAAAUACACUCAUAACAAAAUUUUUUGGUCUUCAUAGGAUCAAACCUUCAAGUGGUCAAAAGUUUCGCUUUGUAGUAAUGGGAAAUAUGUUCUGCACAGAAUUGAGGAUCCACCGAAGAUUCGAUUUGAAAGGUUCAUCACUAGGUCGAUCUACAGACAAAAUUGAAAUUGAUGAAAACACGACACUGAAGGAUUUGGAUCUAAACUAUUGCUUCUAUUUGGAACCUUCAUGGCGUGAAGCUUUAUUAAAGCAGAUUGAGACUGACAGUAAAUUUUUGGAAGCACAACACAUCAUGGAUUACAGCCUUUUGCUGGGUGUGCAUUAUCGAGCCCCCCAACGCCUGCGAUCUCUAAUGUCCUACAAUCGAAGCAUAAGAGCUGAAGGGCUGGGAGUGUUGGCAGAGGACGAUACCAUAGAAGAUGAACACUACCCACAAGGUCUUGUUUUGGUCCCCCGUGGAACAGAUGAUAAUAGUGUUGUUGUGGGUUCUCACAUUAGAGGUAGCCGAUUGCGAGCAUCAUCUGCUGGUGAUGAGGAAGUGGAUCUCCUUCUUCCUGGUACAGCAAGGCUUCAAAUCCAGCUUGGUGUGAACAUGCCUGCAAGGGCAGAGCAGAUUCCAG
rnacentral:misc_RNA from 1 species